rnacentral:siRNA from 1 species
CUUGUCCACAACGGACCCG